AUAAAAACUUUGGAGAAGAGUAGCUAAUGCGUACAUUUACAGAGACUCCCGUUUGGUGUGAAGGGAGAAUGGACAAAUGAGUGAAGAUGAGCUCCGUAGAGUCAGAUUGGUUCACGCUGAUCAGACGGGUGCGACCGUUACAUCGCUAAGCUUAUAACGCUUGAUUCGUUAUGUGCUGAUGAGGCAGUAGUUGGAAAGCUACUGCGAACAAGGGUGGUACCACGAUCAAUACUCGUCCCUCUG
rnacentral:ncRNA from 1 species